rnacentral:tRNA from 1 species
GCCUUAGUAGUGUAAUGGUAGCACAUUCGACCCGUAUUCGAGUGGGCCAAGUUCGCGUCCUGGCAAGGACA